rnacentral:rRNA from 1 species
UUAAAUUGAAGAGUUUGAUCAUGGCUCAGAUUGAACGCUGGCGGCAGGCCUAACACAUGCAAGUCGAACGGUAACAGGAAGAAGCUUGCUUCUUUGCUGACGAGUGGCGGACGGGUGAGUAAUGUCUGGGAAACUGCCUGAUGGAGGGGGAUAACUACUGGAAACGGUAGCUAAUACCGCAUAACGUCGCAAGACCAAAGAGGGGGACCUUCGGGCCUCUUGCCAUCGGAUGUGCCCAGAUGGGAUUAGCUAGUAGGUGGGGUAACGGCUCACCUAGGCGACGAUCCCUAGCUGGUCUGAGAGGAUGACCAGCCACACUGGAACUGAGACACGGUCCAGACUCCUACGGGAGGCAGCAGUGGG